rnacentral:rRNA from 1 species
AAAUUGCGAAAAGUAAUGCGAUCUGCAGCCUUUGCGAAUCAUCGAAUUCUCGAACGCACCUUGCACCCUUUGGUUCAUCCAUUGGGUACGUCUAGUUCAGUAUCUUUAUUAACCCCUAAAGGUUUAUUUUUUGAUAAAUCUUUGGAUUUGCGGUGCUGA